rnacentral:rRNA from 1 species
CAGUCGCCGCGGUAAUACGUAGGGUGCGAGCGUUAAUCGGAAUUACUGGGCGUACAGCGUGCGCAGGCGGUCCGCUAAGACAGAUGUGAAAUCCCAGGGCUUAACCUGGGAACUGCAUUUGUGACUGGCGGGCUAGAGUAUGGCAGAGGGGGGUAGAAUUCCACGUGUAGCAGUGAAAUGCGUAGAGAUGUGGAGGAAUACCGAUGGCGAAGGCAGCCCCCUGGGCCAAUACUGACGCUCAUGCACGAAAGCGUGGGGAGCAAACAGGAUUAGAUACCCCCGUAGUCCCUGUCUCUUAUAC